rnacentral:misc_RNA from 1 species
AUAAAUGUUAAAAAAAAAAAAAAACUUGUUUUUGAAGGCAUUUUAGGAAUAUGAAAAUUUCUUAUUUCCUAUAUAUACCAUAUAUUUAACACAUUCAUAUCUCCUUCCAUUUUCUCAUCUCUCUCAACUCUCUAAUAUUUUCCACUAUCUAAUAACCUAGUUUUUUGGUGCCUAAUUUUUGAUAUUUUCCCCUCCUAAAAAUCUAGCUGAUUCAAUCCUAAGCCGUCUCAAACCAUAAUCACCAAUGAACUGGACUGAACUUAGCCCUGAACUUUCUAGAACAGCCUAGUGAUGUUGUCAUGAUCACCUGGGUCCUGGAAUAAUGGAUAUAGGGUUCCUGGAUUGCCUGAAAUCAAAGAACAAGAUGUGACUAUUUGAUAACUACUCCGACACUAAAGUUAUCAAAGAAUGUGAAAGACACACCUUCGCAAAAAACUAUCACUAUAAAUCACGGCUGUGUCCUUGAUUUCUUUCCUUAUUUGAUCCCAGCCGCAUUUUUCGGAACAACGUUAUUCCUGGUCAUUCGAUCAUAUAUCAAGGGAACCGAUCUCCCAUGCUACUGUUUUAUCAUAUUCAGAUCUUAUAGAGAUCAGAUAAUCUGAGAUAAUUUGACUGUUGCAGAUCGCCUCCGCCCCGUUCUGUUACUUGAAUCCAAUCAAUGUCAUUUCGGGCAUGGGUACAGUUGACCCGACCCAUAGAGUUUCGAUUUUGGAGCUAGACUAUAUCACCUAGUUGGUGUGGUUCCGGUUCAACCCCUUAAUAAAUUCUUAACUGCUGGUUCCUGGCCUGGUCUCUAUAGGAGUCUAUUGGUCCAAGUUAUGGAAUAACAAAAGAAUCCAUUUUUGUGUGGACAUGGUUACUACAGUUUUCAUUUUAAUUUCAGGUCAAUGUGGAUCUCAUGGAGUUCCUCAAGGGAAGGAAAAGCUGAGUGAGAGUAGCUUGAGGGAUCUUUUGAAUGGAUCAGAAUAUAUGCUUACAUAUGAGGAUAAGGAUGGUGACUGGAUGCUUGUAGGGGAUGUACCAUGGGAGAUGUUUAUUGACACAUGCAAGAGACUAAAGAUUAUGAAGAGCUCUGAUGCGAUUGGGUUAGGUAUGACUUCUUUAUCUAAUGAAUUAACAGAAGUAGAAAUUUUAAUUCCAGUUGGGGUUAAUGGAUUUAUUACCCAGUUGUUUCCCCCAAAAUGAAGAAAAUGGGUCUGUUUUAUUGUUGGGAAGGAAACAAUUUUUAUGGUUAUGACAACAUUUGUGUGAAUGGCUUGUGCUGACAUAAUUGUGUGCGAAGAGUAAUGUGAAUGGUAAUGGUGGAUAAGAGUUCUAGCUUUCUAGGUCUUUAGAUUGUCAUACGCCUGGUAAAAUGGCAGCACUGUACAGCUGACACCAUUGUUUUCAGUGUUUUGCUAUUGUGUUUGAAGAGUAAAUUGGUUGCAUUUCUUUUUCAUUUGGUUAUCCUUACUAUGUUUCUACUAUUGUUGUCAUUAUUUUUUCAAGAGUUGAUGUUCCUACUCUUCUUAGCUUCAUUUUUUUGGUCUGAUGCACAGCUCCCCGGGUGGUGGAGAAAUCCAAGGUCAAGGCCUAGAAAGGGACUCUGGUUAUGCUCAAAGAGGAAUGCUUUUAUCGAUUGAAGAAAUGUGGCAACAAGAUGGUUGAUGUGGUUCAGAUGCAACGCCUGAUUUAUGUUUUGAUUGCAUAAAGAAGUGGAUGUUAGUUUAUGCUUGUUUCAAGCCUGAUUGGUAUAAAAACUGCUUUAUGUUAUUAAAAGAAAAGGUUACGGAGUUAAUAUAUCUAUAUAGGAGUUAAGUUUUCUUGAAGUGUUGUGUAUCUGAUGACUGAUGAAUCAAAGAUGACUCGAGUAUUGUGAUUCAACUGCUGUUUUCAUGGAUUUUAUUGUGAUGUUAUUUGUUUGCUUCAUUGAAAGCUUUGGGAUACUGAAUCCUGUCGGGCCACGUAGCUGAGUCUCUGGGGUGUCUAUUUCAAUGUUAGCAGAACUGAGCUACAGUGAUGGAUCUGAUUGACCGACUGAGACUUGAGUCUUUAUGUGUACUUCCAUUUUGAAUGCAUCAGAUUGUGUUCAUCUUGUUCAUGUGGGGGAAAGAAGCGUUAAUGAUGAUUUAUUUAGAGGUUACAGGCACGUUGUUUCCUUCAGGAAUGGGAAUGGAAUUGGGCAUCUGUUCUUCUGGCGUGUGCACGUUUUUGAGUUCAGCUGAAUCCACGUCUCUGGGAUGGAAUUUGAAGGUAAUUGAUAA